GAUUGUUUCACGUGUAAUGAAAAGCUAGGGUCCAGAAGAUCACUGCGGCCAGAUGCCAAUUUUGCUGCCCUCGUCAGUAAGACUUGUCCAAGCCCUGAUGUAUGUGAAGCUCAUCAGGAGGGAAUGCUAGCAAGAAUCAGCUAACACAAUAGCAGCAAGCUUUCAAUGACAGCGUUAAGGAAGGGUGACGAUUCACCCUAACAAUUGUUUCUGAUCCCACCCUCUAAUCAAUUUCCCACCCCCCAGCUCCCACCCCGCAAUCAAUUUCUCACCACCCACCCUCCUCCCCCCCCCGCUCCCUCCCACCAAUAGUUCCCUCCUUCUGCAAAAAACCUCCCAGCCCCCCAGCUUCCCACCCCAACAAUUCCUUCCUCCAAAUUCCAACAACUUGGGAGUGUAACGUGAUCAGAGUACAAUUUCUCCCCCAGAAUUGCCACCCCACAGAAUUCCCUCCCCCUCCCCCCAUGCUCAAUGCCAGCAGUUACGGAGUCCAAUCAUUUUUGAUGCCAACCAUCUCCCACAACAGCCAUUUCUCACCCCAGCAGUUCCCCACCCCCCAAAUUCCCUCCCCAACAAUAUUACAGUACAGCCAUUUCAUUUCCAACCUCAAAAAGAUCCCAGUGCCCCAAGAAUUCCCAACCGAAGAAUUCCCACCCCAAAUUCCCUCCCCCCACCCCGGUUUCCCAACCCCCAAAUUCCCACCCCAACAAUAUCACAGUACAGCCAUUUCCAACCUCAGGAAGAUCCCAAC
rnacentral:lncRNA from 1 species